rnacentral:rRNA from 1 species
UUUAAGAAGUUUUUUUGAAAUUUCAUUAGCGGAGGAAAAGAAACCAACAGGGAUUACCUCAGUAACGGCGAGUGAAGCGGUAACAGCUCAAAUUUGAAAGCUAGCUCUUUUAGGGUUCGCAUUGUAAUUUGUAGAAGAUGCUUCGGGUGUGGCCCCGGUCUAAGUUCCUUGGAACAGGACGUCAUAGAGGGUGAGAAUCCCGUAUGUGACUGGGUGCUUUCGCUCAUGUGAAGCUCUUUCGACGAGUCGAGUUGUUUGGGAAUGCAGCUCAAAAUGGGUGGUAAAUUUCAUCUAAAGCUAAAUAUUGGCCAGAGACCGAUAGCGCACAAGUAGAGUGAUCGAAAGAUGAAAAGCACUUUGGAAAGAGAGUUAAACAGUACGUGAAAUUGUUGAAAGGGAAGCGCUUGCAACCAGACUUGCGCGUGGAUGAUCAUCCGAACUUCUGUCCGGUGCACUCUUCUACGCUCAGGCCAGCAUCGGUUUCGGUGGUGGGAUAAAGGCCUUGGGAAUGUAGCUCCUCUCGGGGAGUGUUAUAGCCCUCGGUGCAAUGCCGCCUACCGGGACCGAGGACCGCGCUCGGCUAUGGUAUGACAGCCGUACAUGGCCCCA